rnacentral:tRNA from 1 species
GGGAGCGUGGCUCAGAUGGUAGAGCGUUCGCUUAGCAUGCGAGAGGUACGGGGAUCGAUACCCAUCGUCUCCA